AUUCUUGUUGAUUACUGUAUUUUAGUACUAUAUUAUUUUUUCACUAUUAUUACCAUGAAUAUUAUUUUUGUCGGGGAGGUGGGGCUUAUUCCCGACAUUUAUCACUCAUAUGAGGAUCUUUGAAAAAAGGUUCGAAAUUGGAAUGCUAUUGCACUUGAAGUAGCAUAAGUACAAAGUUAUAUUUUUGUUUGAGUGUAUAGAUUUCAUGUU
rnacentral:lncRNA from 1 species